rnacentral:rRNA from 1 species
CUACGGGGUGCAGCAGUGGGGAAUAUUGCACAAUGGAGGAAACUCUGAUGCAGCAACGCCGCGUGGAGGAUGACACAUUUCGGUGCGUAAACUCCUUUUAUAUGAGAAGAUAAUGACGGUAUCAUAUGAAUAAGCACCGGCUAACUCCGUGCCAGCAGCCGCGGUAAUACGGGGGGUGCAAGCGUUACUCGGAAUCACUGGGCGUAAAGAGCAUGUAGGCGGAUAGAAAAGUUGGAAGUGAAAUCCUGUGGCUUAACCAUAGAACUGCUUCCAAAACUCUCUAUCUAGAAUGUGGGAGAGGUAGAUGGAAUUUCUGGUGUAGGGGUAAAAUCCGUAGAGAUCAGAAGGAAUACCGAUUGCGAAGGCGAUCUACUGGAACAUUAUUGACGCUGAGAUGCGAAAGCGUGGGGAGCAAACAGGAUUAGAUACCCGCGUAGUC